ACGAAAGUUGAUAGUGUAACAUUAGCUGUGUGUCAUGAAAGUAACAAUGCAAGCUGGUAGGCCUUCACAGCAACACUUUGAAUCACUUCUCCAAGUAGGUGCGUCCCCAUUCAAACAGCCAACCCCUACAACACACACACACACACACACACACACUCACAAAAAAAGAAGUACUCCGCACACGGGGCGCGUUGUGCGGGCGGAUAAACUGGCAAAUGUUUAGAUUAAAACGACAACCACCAAGUUGGAGAUUAUUUUUAAGGGUCACAAAUGAGACAAUCGGUGCCAAACAAAAAAAGGGGGGGGGGCAAAAAAAGAAAAGAAAUGAAGCAUGAUAAGCUUUUAUAGUAUGGGGGGAAAUGGGCAGCCAUGCUUUCCACUCCCACAACCCUCACAGCGCAAUGAGGGGUGUUUUUUUUUCCUCUUCUCUCUUGCUCUCAGUAAAGAAUGCAACAUCAAAAGAAGAGAUGGUUUGAAAGGAGAAUGGCUUGUACUCUUUCUAUUCUAGAUGCUGAUAAGGAGAGGCAGAGGGGAUUCCUGGCCCUCACUUUUUAUCUGUGCAAUGAGGGAGGCGCCCUCUAUGCAGCCAGUCUAAGCUCAUGCUCCAUGCUGCAGACAUGGUAUGGUAAGCCUAUAGCGUGUUUAUUUAUUUAUCUAUUCAUGUAUAUGUGUGUGAAACUAAGCAAGGUGGAUUUCAAAAUAAAAGCUGAAAUGUGAGGCUUGCAGUGCUCAUGCAUGGAUGUGUAGUCUUGUACCUACACUUCUUACCAAAGGGAGGAGGAGCCUUUUUUUUUUUCUCUCUUCCCUACAGCACUUGAGUGUUUCUACAUGUGACUCGCCUGUGCCUUGGAACAUUACUGCCACCCUACUGUAGUGGAGAGAGUGCCAACAGCAGGAGUGACCAUUCCUUGCCUUGUUUACGUCAGUGUGUGAACAGAGGAAUGUCCAAAGCUGUGGCCUAUUUACACAACAGCUCUUUAGUUACUUUCCUGAUGACAUACUAACAAACGUGCUGCGGGUCUUCCUGCUGUCAGCUGAGACUCAUUCAUUUAAAGUCACUCUUAUAUUUAAGUCUGGAAAUGAAACAAUGUCCGGUUACAGCCUUCACGUUUCCAUUUCAAGAGCAGCUCCUAAUUAAAACAAGGUGCAUAAAUACUUUGUUUGCAUCCUUUCCUGAGAACAUGGUAUGCCCAAUUAGGUCAGCACGCCGGCAACUCAUGCAACCACCUGAAAUGAUUUCCUUCCAGAAAGGAAAGUUAAACUGGAACUGGAAGGGAUGUGACACAAGAGCGACCUGCUGACCUAAACAAACACAAACAUACAUGUAGACUUAAGGUAGAGAGGGAAAUAAAAGCAGUUUCCAAGGUGUGGUCAGCUGUGACUGGUGUCUUUUCAUCGGUCUUCACGCUUUCCUCUCUAUUUGGACACUUCACAGUACCUGAUUUGUCUUAUUUUGUGUAUUAAUGAUUUUUUAAAUAUUAUUUUACUUCCAUUUACAUAUAAACCCUUUAAUUCAAAGUUCAGUUAAUUAAUUGAUAUAAAACCAAUACAAAAACAACCACAGCAAAAAAAAAAAAGGUGUUGAAAUGAAAAAGCUUACAUCCUCAUCGCAAGUUUCCCGUUGUACUGCCAUA